rnacentral:miRNA from 1 species
UGUGUCCUGGGAUAGAUAAGUG